rnacentral:rRNA from 1 species
ACUCGAGUGGCGAACGGGUGAGUAACACGUGGGUGAUCUGCCCUGCACUUCGGGAUAAGCCUGGGAAACUGGGUCUAAUACCGGAUAGGGGCCAUUUUUAGUGUGAUGGUUGGAAAGUUUUUCGGUGUAGGAUGAGCCCGCGGCCUAUCAGCUUGUUGGUGGGGUGAUGGCCUACCAAGGCGACGACGGGUAGCCGGCCUGAGAGGGUGAUCGGCCACAUUGGGACUGAGAUACGGCCCAG